rnacentral:tRNA from 1 species
GUUGGUGUUGCUAAAUGGUUAGAGCAUUGGUCUGGGUACCAAAGGGUUGCAGGUUCAAUUCCAGGGCACUUACCUGGGUUGUGGGUUCAAUCCCAUCCCUGAUU